rnacentral:rRNA from 1 species
UAGGGAAUCUUACCACAAUGGGCGCAAGCCUGAUGGAGCAACACCGCGUGAGUGAAGAAGGGUUUCGGCUCGUAAAGCUCUGUUGUUAAAGAAGAACACGUAUGAGAGUAACUGUUCAUACGUUGACGGUAUUUAACCAGAAAGUCACGGCUAACUACGUGCCAGCAGCCGCGGUAAUACGUAGGUGGCAAGCGUUAUCCGGAUUUAUUGGGCGUAAAGAGAGUGCAGGCGGUUUUCUAAGUCUGAUGUGAAAGCCUUCGGCUUAACCGGAGAAGUGCAUCGGAAACUGGAUAACUUGAGUGCAGAAGAGGGUAGUGGAACUCCAUGUGUAGCGGUGGAAUGCGUAGAUAUAUGGAAGAACACCAGUGGCGAAGGCGGCUACCUGGUCUGCAACUGACGCUGAGACUCGAAAGCAUGGGUAGCGAACAGGAUUAGAUACCCUGGUAG